rnacentral:rRNA from 1 species
CACGAGCGCACCCUUGUCCUUAGUUGCUACGCAAGAGCACUCUAAGGAGACUGCCGGUGACAAACCGGAGGAAGGUGGGGAUGACGUCAAGUCCUCAUGGCCCUUAUGGGUAGGGCUUCACACGUCAUACAAUGGUCGGAACAGAGGGCUGCCAACCCGUGAGGGGGAGCUAAUCCCAGAAAACCGAUCGUAGUCCGGAUCGUAGUCUGCAACUCGACUACGUGAAGCUGGAAUCGCUAGUAAUCGCGGAUCAGCAUGCCGCGGUGAAUACGUUCCCGGGUCUUGUACACACCGCCCGU